CAAACUUAGAGGCUGUUGAAAGCAAAAAUGCGCCUUACAUAUUUUUUCCCCAGGAUGGAUCCUCCUCUAUUUCUCAUUGAGAAAACCACGUUAAACUGAUUUCCUGUAGGUAAUAUUAAAUAGUAGGAUCCCUUUAGGAUCACAUGAAAUAAACAUAAUUCUCACAUUUGAAACUGCUAUAAGACAAUAUCAAAGAAUUUUCAGCCAUUUGGCCCUAUAUGAUAUGUAUGAUGAUGGACAGCCCUCCUCCUCUCCCUGUCCACUCCCUACGUGAACAUGCAGUUUUAAUGUCAGUCUGCUUGCUGAAAGGAUUCUAUGAUUAAUAACUCAUCUUCUGUCUUCAUUCAUUUUAAUUCCCUGCCCCUCUGGAAAUGUUACACAUUCCUUUACAGAAGAGCAGCCAGUCUCUGACUUUUCACCUGUACUGGAGUUAGCAAUGUUGAGCUUCUCCCUACAAAAAUGGCAUCCAGAAAACUGCCACAUACUUUCCUAAUGACUUCGGGAGUUUACAUAAUUCUAGGAUUUGAACUACAGAGGAGACACAAUGCACCAAACACAAUUCCUGAUGUUCUGGCAGGGAAAAAAUGCUUCCUCAAGCAGGAACUGCCUUACUGUGAAAGCAAGCUCUGUGUGCUGGUGUGAGGCUAAGCUCCUGCUGCUUCUCCAACAGCCUGGUGGCUGCUCCUCAACACUUGACUUUCAAGAUACCAGCCACCUUUCUUGCCUGCUGCUCAAGGACUCUUCGUCCCUUCUCUCUGUGUUUGUGAGUAUGGCGCCUGUGGAGACAUGCUUUGAGCUCCUAUAGGGAGGAUGGGCACAGAUGGACAAGCACAGUUCCAACCUGAUCUUGCCAGCUCCAUGUCUGCAGAUCUCCGUUCCCUUCUAGGCACAAGGCAUGGCUGACGUUGGGCAGACCAGAGAGCCCUGGCUCCUUCCUAGUAUGGUCUCAGCAUUGCUGGCCAAAGGGAGCUGCUGUUUCAGGGAGCUCAGGCUGCUCCAUGUCUUGUGGGUAAGUUCCUGCAUGUGGCAGAAGAGCAACCAGACUUUACUGAGCACCUGGGAUGGGUGCAGGUCCCAGCUGCCCAUACUUAGGGAUGGUUUCUUGAGUUAGUCUCUGGUUCUGCUCCUCUCCCUGUCCUGUGGGUUUUUCAUGAGCUCCUUGUGCAAAAGGAGGGGAGAGGCCAGAGAACCUGGAGUUUCUGACCCCAGCACAAUUAGCCCUGGGGGUCAAGGGGCCGCCAACUGGCAUCUUAUUUGUCUUGUUGUCCUUGUCAGGAUCCUUGGCUGAGGCAGGAAAGCAGGGGUUAUAUAAGCAAAGUGUUAAAGGAAUUGUUUUCUGGGCAAUGAACAGAUCAGGUGAAGGCUGUUUCCUUUCUCCCAUCUGCUGCAUUGCAGACCCUUUUAGACAGAACAAGUGGCUGCACAAAAGCCAGGGGCCAGCUACAAGUUUUAGUAUUGUGUGGGUUUAAUUCUUUAAUCCUGUGCCAUUCUUACGAAGUGAUCACUGACUGACUGAAAGGAAAAAUCCUGAAGUAUAGCUUUUAAAAGUUCAGAAAUGGAAUCACUUGAACCAUGUCUGAUUAAAAAGAAGGAGACCAGACAGUCAACACCAAGUGGAUCAAAUUUAGUUGGUUGUAAGAUUGACAUGUCUCCGGUGUCGUCUGCAACAAGAACCAAAUGCUAAUUGCCUGACACUAUUAAACACCUCAUCAACUGUGACUUAGGGCUCUCCCUGUGCAUGACUUCAGAAAAACAAGCCUGCCUUUAUGCUUAUCCCAGUUUUGUGAUUUUCGGGCGGACCUAUUUUUCUGAUGCUAAUGGGAGUAAUGUACUUUGUUGCUAACGUUUUGCAAACUGCUUUUGAUGAAGCACACAGAGGAAGCUUUCACACAGCUUGGAUUCACUAAUUGGAAAAAGACUUGAGACAGAUCUGAAUGGCACCAUGUCAUCACAGAGCCAUUGAUAUGCUUCAAAAGACCACAAGGAAUGGUGGUGACAUACUUUGUUUUCAGAACUUUCAGAAGAAGCGAGAGAGCAGGAAGAUUCUAAUGAAAAUGUUAAGUAAAAUAUAUUCUCUUGCCAACAAGAACAUGUCCUAUGAAGCCAUUAUUCAGAACAAGAUGAAAAUAUGAAGAAUGUGACCACAGUUUUUUCAACCUUUUUUUUUUUCCUUAAAUGGGAAUAUUAUAUCAGGACUUUUAAAUUGUUGGGAGUCAAGUCAAAUUCACAGAUUCUGAGGUACUGCUUGAGUACUAAAGGGUAUUUCCAGGAAGUUUCUAGGAAAGUGGCCUGCUGCUGGGGUAAAUAAAAAUCUGACUUACCCAAUGAAGGGCAGUUGUAUUUAUAUUUUCAGUACAUAGGUGACACAAUGCUUGUGAAGGUUUUGCUGCAAGACAGCCUGUACACUGGCAGAGAUAAUUAUAUCUGCAAUCAGAGUCAUCUGCAGAACAGAAUAUUGACUACUAUUAUGGAUCAUGCUAUGCUCUUUUUAUUUGUCAUCCUGAACACAUUAAAAAGAACCGCAGCUCGUGAAUACGUGCUGUCAUGGGCAAGCUGUGACCUUGCUGACCAUAAAGUAUGCAAAGCAAUGUAAUGAAACUAGAGCUCAGUGAGGGUUGAUAUGGCAACACAGAUGGGAAAAUCCAAAGAAACUGAUACUGGUAGAAUUUAGAAAGUCUUAAUUAUUGCAUAGAAAAUGCAUGGAUCAUACAAUAUGGUCACAGAAAUUCUAUUACCUGGAAAAUUUUAUUUCAGUCCAAGCAUCAGAUCAGACACAAGUUAUUCUAGGAACAAAUCCUUUAGAAACUUGGGAAAUAAUUGAAUUUUAAAGGUGAAUGAAGUUUCCAUGAAGAUAUCAAAGGCGAAAGAGGAACCCAAAUGUGGACAUUGAGAAAAGGAACUUUACGGCCUCAUCAACUCAGAAAUAACAAACUAUAUUCAAUAUUCAAC
rnacentral:lncRNA from 13 species